CAUAUACAUAUAUAUAUAUAUAUAUAUAGGGAACUGAGCUAAGAAGCCGCGGUGCCAGCUGGUGGAUAAAUAAACAAAGAUUGUGACGAUAACACCAUAAGUAAAGAAGUGAAAAGGCCACUUAGUUGGCUGGUGUUUCCUUUGAAGGAGAGAGCAUCAAAUGUGAUAGUCGUUAGAGAACGAUGAGCGCUUGCGGUGAACAGGCGUGCGACUAGUAGGACGUAGAGGUUCUGCUCCGCGGCACGGAAUCUCAUAUUUCAUGACAAGAAUAGCGUCUAAUGGAAUGAUAAAGAAUACAGAAUGUUAAGGGAUUUUAGCGUCUUCCGCGGUAGGCAAAUUGCUCCGGCGUGCCUAAAUUAACAUUCCGCUUUAUCGGAAAAAGGCCGACAACUAUAAGGAGUCGAUUUGGGUUGCACAGACAGACCGACACAUUCAUAUUCAGAAAAACGGAAAGUAAUUGCAGGGCGCAGGAGUACGCGUUUACCGCUGGUGUCCCGCAGAGCUCGAUCCUUGCACUAUUGCCGUGGAACCUGACCUAUGACGGGUUCUUAGAUCUAGAAGAGUUUCUGGAGGGAGUCGAAAUGCUGGCCUGCACCGAUGGUUUACACCGAUGGUGGUGCGUCAAUUUACAACCAACCAACAAUUAAUAUUAAGCUUUAUAGAAAAAGCUUUUUCCUUUAGGAAAAAAUAACAUCUAGCCAACCGUCCUCUAGAAAAAGUAUUCGGCCAAUGAAAAAUCAGCCCAACGCAAUAUACCUUGAAGGAUCAACGUGGGUCCGAGAAAUGGGCGGACACAGAUUCUUAGUGGUAGAAAUAGAAUGAAUGCAUGUGGUAGAUGUACUAUGCAGAUGGGAUAUAGGUUAUUAUUUUCACUAAAUUUAUUGCGAAAACACUUUCCAUACUCUAUGCAUGUGUUGUAGGUCACUUCAGGAUAAUAUUACAUUUCAGCGUCGUGGUCUUUGUGUAACAAGCCCAUGGCAUCAUUCACACGAAUAGAAUCCGCAGAUAACACUGGAUGCGCAGCUCAAAUAGUACGAUGAUCUCUAUUAUGCUUGGGAAACAAAGCUUAAGGUCAACGUCGAUAAAGUUGUUACGCGUAUGUGUCAACCGUAAUCAACUUUAGCAGAUUUAAAGGAGUAGCCCGUACGCUUUACUUAAAACCAUCCAUUCUUUCUAGAUUCGGCUAGAAUACACGACACAAAACCAUGUGGCGAGUAGAUCCUGAUGGGCACGUAUAGCAAUUGUCCAGACGUCAUCUAUAUUCUUCCACCUUCACUUCAGUUAUAAGUUCCUCAGUUAUAAUCUUGUUGCAUAAUAAUAAAUUUAAGCCUAAUCAAAUAGGCUUCUUAAAAGUAAAAAUAAUCAUUUGUUUUUUAAAUUGAUCGAUUAAAUCUUCGAAAUUUGAUUAAAGGUUAGUUUUGCUUUGGCCGUUUUCAUUAAUACUGCAACUGCGAUUGACACGAAUCGGAUAGCGUUUUUGGUAAAGAAUAAAAAGAAAAACAAUCAAUUGAGUGCUUUGAAUUUCCAUAAAACUGACACGUGUCGGUAAUACGUUGUCGCAGUAAGUUUUUCUUAAGCGAGUCAAGUUUAAGGUUCACGUUUACUUGAAAAAUUAUAGUUAAAUAAAAAUGUAGCUUUUCUGUCAGAAAGCUAAACUCGUAAAUCGAAACAAGAAGACGAUGUGUUUUGCUCAUCGGAACGUAUAAUGUUUCGGCCAUGACCGCCUACAACUCUUUUGCACCACAUGAUGCACUAAAAUGAUGCCAUGCUGGGUGUUGGCCUCUUUUCCGGCGGCUCGUCGACCUUGAUGUAUCUUCCGCACAAAUUGGCCAAGCAGAAAAGAUUAAUACGAAAUCAAUACCUAUCAGCGUAGAAUAUAGGUCAGCAUUUUAAGCUAGUAUUAUUUUAUCAUCAUUUAGAAUCAUUAUUAGCUAAAUUAUUCGCCGCCGCUUGCUUUAAUUUAUUGUUGCUUCCACCGGUCGUUGGUUUAAGGUCAACUAUGCUUCAAUCAGAUUUGGACACACAGUAUCAGGUAAAAUGAUUGAACCGGGAAAAGGAUUGUGAGUGUCAAGUUUUUUUAAUAGUAAUCUUACCUUUCUACAACUAAUGGUACUGUCCAGAUAUUAUAAUGUGAUAUGCUACAGCUGACUGAGUAACAUUUGUUUAAAUAAAUAUCUUUAUUUAAUUGAUAUGGGAUUCUUUGGGGUUCUCCGUGUGGCAAAGGCAAGUGCCUGCACGUAUUCUCUCAUUAAAAUGCGCGUACAUAUGUUCAUUUGAUGUCUAUUCAUUUGGUACCCCUAAGUGUUUUGUCUAUAUCUACGAACAAAUCUUCGGAAUCUUUUUUUUUUUUAGAACGGCAUCAAGCUCUCACUAAAGGUCUAACCGAAAUGGUUCUUGCUGAAUUAAUCUAGGGUUUCUCUAAUGGACCACUGCAACUGCAUCGCAAUCACACAAGCAGCUAUUAGUGUAGAUGAUAAUUUCAUAUUUACCUUCUUAAUAUCUUAUUUUCCUCGCUAUGCAUUCGAGGUAAUCACUUCUGCCAACGCUGGUAUUUGAACCAUGCUUGUUCGUUAAUGUUUACCAUGGCAACGCAUUUAAAGAAAUCCAUAUGAGCCUGCCAGAUCACACCUUUACCCGUUUACUGUUUAUGAAUAUAUAGCGCAAGAUGGUGAUUUUUUUAACAACAUGUGCGGUGUGUAAGAUGCUUGUAUUACAAUAAACAUUGACCGGUAUCAUGGAUUGUUUAUGUUAAG